UACGUAGGGGGCGAGCGUUGUCCGGAUUUAUUGGGCGUAAAGAGCUCGUAGGCGGUUCGAUAAGUCGGACGUGAAAUCUCCACGCUCAACGUGGAGGGGCCGUUCGAUACUGUCGUGACUCGAGUCCGGUAGGGGAGUGUGGAAUUCCCGGUGUAGCGGUGAAAUGCGCAGAGAUCGGGAGGAACACCCGUAGCGAAGGCGGCACUCUGGGCCGGUACUGACGCUGAGGAGCG
rnacentral:rRNA from 1 species